GGUGAGGUGGCAGAGUGGCCGAAUGCAGCGCACUGCUAAUGCGUUGACCCUUAACGGGGUCCGUGGGUUCGAAUCCCACCCUCACCGCCA
rnacentral:tRNA from 1 species